rnacentral:rRNA from 1 species
UGUCGCCCGCAAGGGCGCAUGGUGGAUGCCUUGGCAGACAGUACCGACGAAGGACGUUUGAGGAUGCGAUAAGCCUCGGGGAGCCUCCAGCAUGGCUUCGAUCCGAGGAUCUCCGAAUGGGGCAACCCGCCGGCCGUCAUGGGCCGGCACCGCAGGCUUCUGCGGGGGGUACGCAGGGAAGUGAAACAUCUCAGUACCUGCAGGAAGGGAUACUCCGUGAGUAGUGGCGAGCGAAAGCGGAUCAGACCAAACCGCGUGCGCGUGAUACCCGUCGGGGGUUGCGUGCGCGGUGUUGAGGGAGCGCGUGUCCCGGUUCCGACGGACCGGGCGGGAGUCAUAAAACGGCUUGCCAGGGGAACAGGCUUGAAGGCCGCAGAGGGUGCCAGCCCCGUACCUGGACGCUUGCCGUCUUCCGAUCGCGUGUCCCAAGUAGCGCGGGCCUCGUGGAAUCCCGCGUGAAUCCGCACCGACCGUGGUGUAAGUCUAAGCAUACCUGUCUGACCGAUAGCGUACCAGUACCGUGAGGGAAAGGUGAAAAGCACCCCGGGAGGGGAGUGAAAGAGUUCCUGAAACCGUGCGCCUACGAUCCGUCGGAGCCUCCUUGUGGGGUGACGGCGUGCCUAUCGAAAAAUGAGUCUGCGAGUCAGUGAUGCGUGGCGAGGCUAACCCGUCGUGGGGCAGCCGUAGCGAAGGCGAGUCCGAACAGGGCGUUUCUAUAGUCGCGUGUCCUGGACCCGAAGCGGGAUGAUCUAGCCCUGGGCAGGUUGAAGCGCGGGUAAGACCGCGUGGAGGACCGAACCCACCUGGGUUGAAAACCGGGGGGAUGACCUGGGGCUAGGGGUGAAAGGCCAAUCAAAUUCCGUGAUAGCUGGUUCUCUCCGAAAUGCAUUUAGGUGCAGCGUCGGCUUAUUGCAUCGCGGGGGUAGAGCUACCGGAUGCUUGCGGGCCCUUGUGGGGUACCAACAGCAGCCGAACUCCGAAUACCGUUGAUGUGUAUGCCGGCAGUGAGUCGGAGGGGGAUAAGCUCCGUCGUCGAGAGGGAGACAGCCCAGACCGUCGUCCGAGGUCCCCAAGCGUGUGCUAAGUGGGAAAGGAUGUGGAGUCGCGGUGACAACCAGGAGGUUGGCUUAGAAGCAGCCAUCCUUGAAAGAGUGCGUAACAGCUCACUGGUCUAGUGGUUCCGCGCCGACAAUGUAGCGGGGCUCAAGCACACCACCGAAGACGCGGCGGCGCGUGUAUGCGCGCCGGGUAGGAGAGCGUCCUGCAAGGGGCGAAGCGGCCGGGUGACCGUGCCGUGGACUUUGCGGGAGUGAGAAUGCAGACAUGAGUAGCGAGAGACGGGUGAGGAUCCCGUCCGCCGGAUGACCAAGGGUUCCGGGGCCACGUUCGUCGUCCCCGGGUGAGUCGGGUCCUAAGGCGAGGCCGACAGGCGUAGUCGAAUGGAUGAACGGGUGGAUAUUCCCGUACCGGCAGCGAACCGACAGGACCGAGGCGGUGAGUACUAACCUCCGUCGCGGGCCGUUCCCCUCCUUCGGGUGGGGUCCGGCGCGUGGCGUUGGGAGCGUAGCCGUGGUAGGUGAGCGCAGGGGUGACACGGAAUGGGAGCCGGCCGCGGAGGUGGUUUUCCGUGGUCAAGCACGCAGCCGGUCGCACAGGCAAAUCCGUGCGGCGCGUACGGCGAGGUGCGAUGAUGGGAGCCGUUUCGGCUCGAUAUCCGGUGGUCCAGGCCGUCGAGAAAAGCCCCGGCGUCAGGCGCGUUGCCGCCCGUACCCCAAACCGACACUGGUGGUCAGGUAGAGAAUACCAAGGCGAUCGAGCGAAUCCUGGUCAAGGAACUCGGCAAACCGCUCCCGUGCCUUCGGCAUAAGGGAGACCCCCGCGGGUGAACGGACAUGCUCCGGGAGCGUGUGGGGGUGGCACAGACCAGGGGGUAGCGACUGUUUACCAAAAACACAGGUGCAUGCGAAGGCGUAAGCCGCUGUAUAUGCACUGACGCCUGCCCGGUGCCGGAAGGUUAAGAGGAUCCGUCAGCCCCUCUUGGGGGUGAAGCGGUGAAUUCAAGCCCCGGUAAACGGCGGUGGUAACUAUAACCAUCCUAAGGUAGCGAAAUUCCUUGUCGGGUAAGUUCCGACCUGCACGAAUGGCGUA